rnacentral:rRNA from 1 species
GACGUAGGGCGCGAGCGUUGUCCGGAUUUAUUGGGCGUAAAGAGCUCGUAGGCGGCUUGUCGCGUCGUCCGUGAAAACCUGCGGCUCAACUGCAGGCUUGCGGGCGAUACGGGCAGGCUAGAGUUCGGUAGGGGAGACUGGAAUUCCUGGUGUAGCGGUGAAAUGCGCAGAUAUCAGGAGGAACACCGGUGGCGAAGGCGGGUCUCUGGGCCGAUACUGACGCUGAGGGGCGAAAGCGUGGGGAGCGAACAGG